CCCGCAACGAGCGCAACCCCUGCCUUUAGUUGCCACCAGGUCAAGCUGAGCACUCUAAAGGGACUGCCGGUGAAAAACCGGAGGAAGGUGGGGAUGACGUCAAGUCCUCAUGGCCUUUAUGUCCAGGGCUACACACGUACUACAAUGGGCGGCACAAUGAGUCGCAAACCCGCGAGGGGGAGCCAAUCUCAAAAAACCGUUCUCAGUUCGGAUUGCAGUC
rnacentral:rRNA from 1 species